GGCGACGACACCCUCGAAACGGAGUGUGAGGCUCACGGUCGCGCACGCGCGGCACCGGGGCUUUCCCCCCGCAGCACGUGACUCAGCCCCGCCCCCUCGCGGAAUGAAGUAACAGGAGUUUGUUGUUUUGAAGAGUUUUUCAUGCGUGGCUGUAAGAGGCGAGCCGGGGCCGCGCGCAGGGGGAACAGCGCGAGCCUCUCCGCGUGCGCCGCACGUAGCUCUUCACGUGCGUGUGGCGGGGGGAAGAGAGACGCGGAGCGGCCUCCUGGCUCCGCCUCUCCUUAUUCCCGUCAGAGCGUCCCCGGGGACCUGCGCCCCCCGCCCCCCCAAGUCCCGAGAGUGCGAGUGAGGCGCGGGUUGGCUCCGCCAAGUGGCGCCGCCGCUGCUCCCUGACUAACGGCCGCCCCGCCCCUGCUCCCUCCCCCCGGCGUGUCCCUUCCCCUCCCCCCGCGUGUCCUGCCCCCUCCCCUGCCGCCGCCGCCGCUGCUACUAGCGCAGCCUGGACUAAGGCGAACUCCGGAGCGAACUGAGGAGAAGUGAGGAGGCGGCGGCGGGGCUGAGACUCACCAGCCACAGGCAGCGGGAGGGAGGCGGUGAGGACACCGGGCGCAGCGCGGCGGCAGAGACACCAGCAGCGGCCGGGAGGAAACAACCGGCGGCGGCAGCUCCUCGGGAAGAAGAAGCAGCAGCAGCAGCAGCGGCUGCCCGGCCCCCUCCCCCGCCGCGGAGAGCAGAGAGGGGCAGUGCCGCGGAGAGGAGCUGGGCUCAGCGUGUGCGCGCGGGAGGAGGGGGGACCUGGAGGACUGCGCCGGCCGGCCGGGGGCGCACGGAGCCGGGGAACGGGGGGAGACCGAGUUUCCUCUUUUCUGCACCCGGGACCCGGCGGUGGCGGGUUGGUUUGUUGCUGAUUGAAUCUUCUUCCUCCUCGGGGAGCCCCCCUCCCUCCCCCGCCCGCCCGGAUCCGGCCGGGCGCCCCGUGCCGUGGUUGGGCUGCGCGGCGGGCGCUCGCGGGCUCUGCGCGAUUGGAAUAUGGUUGGGGAAAUGGAAACCAAGGAGAAGCCGAAGCCGAGCCCCGAUUACCUGAUGCAGCUGAUGAACGACAAGAAGCUGAUGAGCAGCCUCCCCAACUUCUGCGGGAUCUUCAACCACCUCGAGAGGUUGCUGGACGAAGAAAUUAGCAGAGUACGGAAAGACAUGUAUAACGACACAUUAAAUGGUAGUACGGAGAAGAGAAGUGCAGAAUUACCAGAUGCUGUGGGACCUAUUGUACAGUUACAAGAGAAACUAUAUGUGCCUGUAAAAGAAUAUCCAGAUUUCAAUUUUGUGGGAAGAAUCCUUGGUCCCAGAGGACUAACAGCUAAACAGCUUGAGGCAGAAACAGGAUGCAAGAUAAUGGUCCGAGGAAAGGGCUCAAUGAGGGACAAAAAGAAGGUCUCCUUUAAGAGCAGAGGCAACCUUGAUCCAGCAGUUUUGGAGGUAGAGGAGGAACAAAACAGAGGCAAGCCCAACUGGGAACACCUGAAUGAAGAUUUACAUGUACUAAUCACUGUGGAAGAUGCUCAAAACAGAGCAGAAAUCAAAUUGAAGAGGGCUGUUGAAGAAGUGAAAAAAUUACUGGUACCUGCAGCAGAGGGAGAAGACAGCCUUAAAAAGAUGCAGCUAAUGGAACUUGCAAUUCUGAAUGGCACUUACAGAGACGCCAACAUCAAAUCACCAGCCCUUGCCUUUUCUCUUGCAGCGACAGCCCAGGCUCCAAGGAUUAUUACUGGGCCUGCGCCUGUUCUCCCCCCAGCUGCCCUGCGUACUCCUACGCCAGCUGGCCCUACCAUAAUGCCUUUGAUCAGACAGAUACAGACCGCUGUCAUGCCAAACGGAACUCCUCAUCCAACUGCUGCAAUAGUUCCUCCAGGACCUGAAGCUGGUUUAAUUUACACACCCUAUGAGUAUCCCUAUACACUGGCACCAGCGACAUCAAUUCUUGAGUAUCCUAUUGAACCUAGUGGCGUAUUAGGUAUGGCUUUCCCAACGAAAGGCUAAGAAUUCAAGAACGGUCUUAACUGAACCCUCAUCAGAUCUGAAUUUAACAAAUGCUUAGUUUCAGCAGUCUUGAAAAAAAGUAGCCUAGCAGUCAGUGACUUACUUGCACUUUUUUGCACAUAGAUAUAAAAUAAAAUAGUGCUAUUAAUUUGGUUUAGUCUCUAUUAUUACAAAGUAGCUGUAAUUUAUGAGUGUAUAGUAGUAUACUGACUGCUAAGUGUUCUAUACUGUUUGCUUUACUAAUCACCUAAUUCAUUGCAGUUCAUACUUUAUUGACUUAAAGUUUAAAACCACAUCUGUAGGCAUGAAGAAUUGCUUUAAAACUUUUUUUAAUGGUAGAAACUGGAAGUGGUCUGAAGAGUAGCAAAUAAUUGUCAGUAUUAAAAAUGGCAUUAUUUAAAGUAGUGCUGCUGCAAAAAAGGCACUUCAGUGAAUAUGUGACUAGUAAAGCUUAAAUGUUCUUGGAUCUAAUAGAUUUCAUGAAAUACUGUAAUGUUGGGAUUGAAAAUGAGUGGAUUAAACAGGUUAAGGCCAGGAUGUUUGAAAUAAAUGCAAUAUUAAUCUGCACAGAUAUAGUUCAUAUAUUAAAGUUAAGAUUUGAAACUACUGUGCCUUAACUUGUUGCUUUCUUAAAAUGAAUUUUGUAGUAAAUGAUCACUUAAAUCCAUUUUGCUAAACCUGCUGUUAAUGUUUAUCUUUGAAUGUUUUCUAACUUUGUCUUGGUAAUUGCAAUUUAACUAGGUGCGGUGGCUACUAAAGUUCGAAGGCACGAUAUGCGUGUCCAUCCUUACCAAAGGAUUGUGACCGCAGACCGAGCCGCCACCGGCAACUAACCUAUGACCUUCUGACCUCUGAACUCUUCACCCAAUGAUGACCUGACCAUGCCUGCCUGCUGAUCAGUUAACUGGUAAUCGCCUUUGCUUGCCUGUCUUCAGUGCAGCGAGCUGAGGCACUUGUCCGUUCGUCUUACCAUCUAACAAAAAAGACAAAGAAAUUAUUGUCCUCCAACUCAGCUUUUUUUUCCUGUUUGGGUGAAAGUGGUUCUAGAACCUGCACUGAAUAGUAGUAAAGCAAUAAGGUCCAAUUCAUCCCUCAGCACUGAUCAUCCUUUAGUGUCCCACCCUAAACGAACGGUAAGAAGGCCUCACUUAAGUGAUGGAGACAGAUGUCCCUUAACUACCCGAUGACAGAGGCAGUUACUGUGAGCGACUUCUAGGAAUCUUUUUCUUCUCAUAAUGAAGUCAAAGCUCUCUUUGAAUGUACUGUGUGAUGAUGCAUCAUGCAUGAACCUUUGGUCAGGGAUGUCAUUGGUGAAGGGAUUCCAAAAAGUAUUCAAAAUUUGACUUGCUGUUUAGUCACUACCAGUGCCCUCAAAGGGCAAAAGUUGCAGCCUUUUUUCUAUUGCCUGCCAAAUUGGAUGUUUUAAAAGAACGUGUGCCAUGAAAGAUAGAUUUCAGUGAAUUUUCAGAACUAUGUUAAUGCAAAGAACAAAACAGCAACACUAUGAAAGCAAAAUCUGAGUUAUGAUUACUUUAACCAUAUUUAAACUUUCUUAAAAGAUUACAUGAGAACAAGGUACAUGCAUUAUGUGUCACAUUACUGGGCAAACUGUUCAAAUAUUUUUUUUAAACCUCCCUGUAUAGAAAAAUUUCAUUAAGGAUGUAAAAGCCAUGCUUGCCUAUUUGCUGUAUACAUGUAAUGAAAUUGUAGAUAAAGUGUAGUGCAUUGAAACAAAAUGAACAAAAAAGUAGAUACUUUUACUAUACAAGGGUGCUGGUGCAGAAAAAAUAUAUUUUUGGAAAUGUAGCAUUUUAUACUUUCAAGUGUUAUAAAAAAAAGAAAAAAGAACAAAGGAACAACCCUUUAUUUCAUUAAAUGAUUUUUUCUGGUGGUUGUCAAGAAACAAAAGACCAAAAGAGCCUUUUUGUCUUUCUUUUUUAUUUUUUAAGUAUUGGAAUAAGUCUAAAGAAAAGGAAGUGCCUUAUUUUCUUCAUGGUCAUUUAGUCAAAUGUCUCAUAUAAUCAGCUCCUCCCUCAGACGACAAGUUAAUGCAUGCCACUUAGUCGCCCAGUAUGUGAAAAGAAGCUGGGAAAGGAAGACAAAUGAGUUGACCAUUUGAUGAAAUACCUGAUUUUUGCCAUAGUAGCAUGAUGCAACUUUGCCAAAUUUUAUAAUGUGAAACGUUUGAUAAUUUUUCUAUCAAAUGCUGGCCCCCAUUAGUCUUGCAACAUUUUCACCAUCUCAAACCAUAGUUAACAUAUUUUGUUUCAUGUACUUGCUCAAUCUAAACCAAAGGGUUCUGACUCAUUCUAAAUCAGAGCAUUAGCUGACAAAUGUUUAUAGGGCAGCAAAUGCUCCAUUUUGUUCAGGGGAUGGUGUGGAGUUGUCUUGAUUUGAAAUAUUGACAAGUAUAGCAGACCUUGUACUUGUCCACAGAAUAAAGUUUGGUGAAUAAUGAAAUUGAACAUGUUUAAGUAAUUUUAAGUCUGACCUAAGCAUGUCCCAGUAUUUUGUAAGCAGCUCCCAUAGUGUCAAAUAGUGUAUAAGAUAUUCAUUUCUCAUCAGCCCCUGCUUGAUUAAUAUUGAUUGUUUAUUGCUUUUUAUUCAAAAGAAAAGCAGGAAAGACUCAUUAACUAACUAUUUAAAAAUUCAUCUAUAGUUCAGUAUUAUCUUUUAGCACCACAUGAAAUUCAUGCAGCUAGACCAGCAUAACAGCUGAGAAGCUUUUUUGAAUAGUGUUGAAUUCUGAAAAUAUUGAGCAAGUAUCAGUUUGCUAAUGGCUCAGUAUUAGACUUGGCAAAUAUCAGGUGAUAAUUUAUUUCCCCUGUUGUCAACUUAUUCUCCUCCUGCAAACCUUCAUAGCUUCCAAAUCAAAGGUCAAUAGUAAGCUAAGAAAGAGGGUUUACAGUUUAAGCACCUGUAUGGUGACCUCAUCUAACAUCUUGUCUCACCUGGAAACAAUUAUCAGUUUAUUUACUAUGCAAUAGACAUUCAUCCUUUUGUAUUCAGCUAGCUUUUGUUUAUCGUGCCACCAGCUUUGUCUUCCUGUUACACAUACAGUUGUUUUGACUUAAUUUACAGUAUAUAUGGUGUGCCAUUUUGAUUUUUGUUUGUUUGGUUGAAUAAACCUGCGACACUCAAACAUUUGAGAAGAGAUUUGCUAAAACAAUACCAGUAUUUGAUCCAGAUUCAUCUCAACUAUGAUAAACCUGGACAUUUUUUGUGACAUGUAAUAGUAAUGUUUGCUCUGAAUGAACAAACGUUUGAAAACAUAGUUGACAAAAUUUUGGAUCAACUUAAAAAAAAAAGCAUGACUUUUGAAAUCUCUGAAUGCCUUGGUUCUCAGUAUUAUAAUUCUUUAUUGAAUUUUUCUUUAUUAAAAUAUGUAGUUUUAAGACUUCUUUCUGACAGUAUUAUGUAAUUUUUUUAGAGUGGGUAGAUGGGAGUGUCGCUUGUAUGUAACAGUACAGAUGACAUGUAUUUGUCUAUUCUUUAUUAUCUUAGUAGUUUCAUGCUGUGUAUGUAUCAUAACCAACCUAUUGCCUAUGAGAAACAUGUAAGAUAAUGUAUUUACAGCCAUUGUUACAAGUUUAUAAUGUAUUUUUCUAUCUUGUUUUAUAUGUAUGUUAUAUAAAACAUUCAAUUUUUUUCCUGAUUGAGAAAAAAAGGAUACAAAAAUGCAAAACCCACAAUUUUGAUAACUGAAAAUUGCCAAUUGUUUUGCAGUACUUUAUUAUAUCGGGAGUGUUGUCUUUCUUGGGCUUUUAGUUAGCUACUGGAUGAAUACAUUAGACAUAUUUGGGUUUUAGUUGGGUUUUUACAUAGCUUGCAUUUUAAUUCUUUGGUUCUUUGCUGUUUCUAUUAACCCAUAGCAUUAUUUUAAUAAAUGUUAUAAUACCAACCUACUAACUCUGGACUAUGUCUGUUUAUUAACCAUUACAUGUUUAAUUAAAAUAAACAAACAAAGACGGAAGAAUGUAAAGUCUUGAGUUACUGGACUAACCCUGAAGAACGUGACCACAGAUAACACAUGACUUGUAUUUAUGUUGUUUGUCGGCUGAGAUUCUGCACACUACUAUUAAAUUGGCUUUUGGUCAUUCUGGCCUUUACCUUGGGGGUAGGUGGAGUAGAGAUGGAAACAAAGUAGCAUAAUUUGAAGCAUUCUUCUUGUAGUCUUGCCACUUGCCUUUCAGCAUCUGCAUUACUAAUUCCACACAUUACUUUUUCUUUCUCUAAAAUAAUCACUGUCAGCUCACAGCAACAGAGCAAAGAUGCCAGUAUAUUGGUAAAUCAUGUGAUGGUGUACCCAGAGAAACCAGUUUGAUUCUUUGUUGAACCAUAUUGAUGUCAUAGUAAAUCUCAUGGAAAUUUGCCAUUCUUUAUUUAAAGCACACGAUUCAGUGUCACAUCUUGUGACUCUCUUGUAUUUUGUAUAAGCACACAUUACUUCUGGACUAUAUUUUUUUGUGUAUCUGAAGCAAAGAACUGGCUUUUUUUCUAGGACGUCACAAAGAUUUUCCUGCAGAUUGCUUUAUUUCCUACUUGGCAUACUAUUUAUGUAAUUUUUUUGCACGUCUGUCAUUAUCACCUAGCUCAGGGGAGUACAACUUCUGAAAAGCCAAAGAUCAAGCUGGAUCAUUUCCUGAUGACUACAGAAAGUACAAAAUACUAAACCUGUUGCACUAUAUUACUGAGAAAUAGCCAUUUCAAAUACCAGGGCUCGUUACCUGUGAUCUCUGUACCUGUGGAUAAUCAUAGCAACACGAAUGCAGGAAAUGUAAGUGGUGAAAACACAGUAGUAAAUAAGUUUUUGUUUUUGAGCUUCUAUGCAAAUGACUUCUACAGAGAAACUUCGUAUUUAAAAUUUUCUACUAUUUGAAGUUUUGUUUCUAGUCUGGUUAGGCUUCCAAGAUUUGUGCUUAAAUGUACAAUAAUUACCAGGUAUUGUCUUGGGAGACUCUUGAUGCACAUCACUUAUUUCUCUGAUAUUGACAGUUUACUUUUCUGUGAACUAGCAAUCUGCUUGCCUAGGAAUAAAAAUUCAGAUGAGAAA